GGACACUCGGGACAGGACAUCAAGCGCAACGGGAGACGCGGCAGUUGAGGUUCGGCAAAGGUCAUGUCAGGACUUUGCAUAAAAUAUUUGAAAAUGUUUUCAUUAUGCCCAUCCUGCGCCCAGGACACUGGCAUGUAUUGGUGAUAAAUUAGUUUAAUGUUCGAAGCACC
rnacentral:sRNA from 1 species